AGCUGGCACCCCGCCAUCUCCCCCGAGCAGGGGGAGAAGGAGGAGGCUGCUAGCGUGAGAGCGCGGACUCCCGGAGAAGAGGAAGCCAAGGUUGGCCAUGCUUGGAGGCUCCUUGUACCGUCCUAAGGGAUGAAAAGGCCUGCUUCGGAUGUUUUGAGAGGAGGGUUUGAUAUAUGAGCUCGUGUCUUUCAUCAGAAUGUUCUCGAAGACGAGUAGAGCCUUGGAUGCAGGAACUUGUAUAUAGCCUACAUUGGCUAUGUAGCAGGCUGUCCUUGAACUUCUUGCCUUCACCUUCCAAGUGUGAGGAUCACAGAUUUCUACAUCUAAAUUAUAAGACGGCGCCAGUGACAUACGAUGUCACCUCGCUUCACAUAGGUAAGGACGGAGAUGCGUAGAAGGCACUAAGUUCUCCUCAUGAUCUUGUGAAGAUGCAAGAGGGCAGGCCAGCUAGGUCAGAUUCCUGCUUUCUAUCAUGUGACCUGGCACAGGCCUGUCCUCCGAUUAUCUUCAUGUCCAUUAUCCUUGUCUGUGUCACCUUUCUCUUCCCUUCCCAUCCACCCAUCUGUCCACCCACCACCCAGCUAUCCAUCCGUAUGCUUAUCCAUCUAUCCACACACCCAUCCAUCCAUCCAUCCAUCCAUCCAUCCAUCCAUCCAUCCAUCCAUCCAUCCAUCCAUCCAGAUUAACUGACAAUUAUCUUUUGGUUCAUUGAAAUUCCUUAAAAUUAAGUAUACAGUUCUGGUAUAAAACAAAAUAUGACCUACUAUAGCUGAAAAAUAAUCACAGUGUACAAUGUCAUUUUCAGUUGCUAAGAGGCAGAGCAUUUGCCCCGGUGUGUCCUGCUUGCCUGCCCUCUGAAGCAAUCAAUGCAAGGCUCAUUGAACCCCACUUUACAUUCACUGAAGAAGCACUGAGAGGCUCUUUUCUCUUCCGUUUUGAAUUGGUACCCUUAAGUGGAAGGUCUGAUGUGGAAAAGUGCAAGCAAAUUGGACAUGCCAAUAAAUACCAUAGAACUUACUGCAGAUUACCAAAACUGUACAUGUAUGUACACCUCACCCAACUGAGGUUCCUCCCUUAGGAAUAGACCUCAAAAGCAUUACCAUGGGGGCAUCCCAGAGUCCUAGAGGAGUGGUCUCAGCGAGCGAAGGAUGGGCGGGCUCUUCUGCUCCUGUUCUGGGGACCUGGGCCCAAGUCCCCACUGCUCUCUGUAGUCUCUUCCUUCUUCCUCACUUUGAGGCGAGUGAGCAACUUGAUUAACCAGACAUCCCACUCUUCUGGCAGGAGCAGCAGGAGGAAGCCCAGGCCGAUAAUGAUGAUGGCUAUGACCCGGACUCCGUUGAAGACUAUCUGACUGAUGAUCAUGUGAGUGCCGGUGGCGGGGCACAGCGUGGUCAAAGGACAACAUUUGGGAGUCAGUUCUCCUUCCCCCUGCAGGUCCCAGGAAUCUAACCUCGGUCACCAGGCAUAGUGACAGAGGUUACACAUGCCUUGUGAGCAGCCACAGGAAGAUUCGAUGGGAGUGGCCAUGUGAAAGUGUGCUCUCGAGUGUAUGUAAGUCCACAAGAUGGUGUGUUUCUAAUGAACAGAGACAGAACUCCAUGAAACGAUGCUUACCUGCGUU